rnacentral:rRNA from 1 species
AAAGCCCCCCCCUGGGAAGGGGUACCCCCAGGGGGCCCCCGGAAAAAGGCGGCUUUUCCGUGGUCUACCCUUUUUAGGGAAUAAGAGGGGGGCAAGACUGGUGUCAGCCCCCUCGGUAACACCAGCCCCUCGAGUGGUGGGGAUGAUUAUUUGGCCUAAAGCGUCCGUAGCCUGCCGGGUAAGUCUCCCGUUAAAUCCAGCGUCUCAAGCGUUGGACUGCGGGAGAUACUGUCCGGCUAGAGAGUGGGAGAGGUGUACGGUAUUCUGGGGGUAGGGGCGAAAUCCUUUGAUCCCCGGAGGACCACCAGUGGCGAAGGCUGUACACUAGAACACGUCUGACGGUCAGGGACGAAAGCUGGGGUAGCGAACCGGAUUAGAUACCCGGGUAGUCCCAGCCGUAAACGAUGCACGCUAGGUGUUGGGUCGGCCACGAGCCGCCCCAGUGCCGCAGGGAAGCCGUUUAGCGUGCCGCCUGGGGAGUACGGCCGCCAGGCUGAAACUUAAAGGAAUUGGCGGGGGA